UACGAAGGGUGCAAGCGUUACUCGGAAUUACUGGGCGUAAAGCGUGCGCAGGCGGUUAGCCGUGUCCGAUGUGAAAGCCCCGGGCUCAACCUGGGAAUGGCAUUGGAAACUGGCUGGCUGGAGUGUGGCAGAGGGGGGUGGAAUUCCACGUGUAGCAGUGAAAUGCGUAGAGAUGUGGAGGAACACCGAUGGCGAAGGCAGCCCCCUGGGCCAACACUGACGCUCAGGCACGAAAGCGUGGGGAGCAAACAGG
rnacentral:rRNA from 1 species